rnacentral:rRNA from 1 species
AUACGGAGGGUGCGAGCGUUAAUCGGAAUUACUGGGCGUAAAGCGCGCGUAGGCGGUUAGAUCAGUCGGGUGUGAAAGCCCUGGGCUUAACCUGGGAACUGCAUUCGAUACUGUCUAGCUAGAGUAUGGUAGAGGGAAGUGGAAUUCCGGGUGUAGCGGUGAAAUGCGUAGAUAUCCGGAGGAACAUCAGUGGCGAAGGCGACUUCCUGGACCAAUACUGACGCUGAGGCGCGAAAGCGUGGGGAGCAAACAGGAUUAGAUACCCCGGUAGUCC